UAAUCCCUGCGGUGCACGUUGGUAAAGAUGAUUUGUGAACCAACACAAAUUUAGAGGGAACCCACAGCUUCCCUGGGCGCGAGCGUCCAAGGAGAGGGUACCCACCUGAAACCAAAAGGUUCAGUACACAUCAUAUCCAACGGCACGACGCGGGGAUUUU
rnacentral:other from 1 species